rnacentral:rRNA from 1 species
AUACGUAGGUGGCGAGCGUUGUCCGGAAUUACUGGGCGUAAAGGGCGUGUAGGCGGGGGGACAAGUCAGAUGUGAAAUACCGCAGCUUAACUGCGGGGUUGCAUCUGAAACUGUUCUUCUUGAGUGUCGGAGAGGAAAGUGGAAUUCCCAGUGUAGCGGUGAAAUGCGCAGAGAUUGGGAGGAACACCAGUGGCGAAGGCGGCUUUCUGGACGACAACUGACGCUGAGGCGCGAAAGCGUGGGGAGCAAACAGGAUUAGAUACCCUGGUAGUCCACGCUGUAAACGAUGGAUACUAGGUGUAGGAGGUAUCGACCCCUUCUGUGCCGGAGUUAACACAAUAAGUAUCCCGCCUGGGGAGUACGGCCGCAAGGUUGAA